rnacentral:rRNA from 1 species
GACGAACGCUGGCGGCAGGCUUAACACAUGCAAGUCGAACGCAUCCUUCGGGGUGAGUGGCAGACGGGUGAGUAACGCGUGGGAACGUGCCCUUCAGUUCGGGAUAACCCAGGGAAACUUGGGCUAAUACCGGAUACGUGCGAGAGCAGAAAGAUUUAUCGCUGAAGGAUCGGCCCGCGUCUGAUUAGCUAGUUGGUGGGGUAAUGGCCCACCAAGGCGACGAUCAGUAGCUGGUCUGAGAGGAUGAUCAGCCACAUUGGGACUGAGACACGGCCCAAACUCCUACGGGAGGCAGCAGUGGGGAAUAUUGGACAAUGGGCGCAAGCCUGAUCCAGCCAUGCCGCGUGAGUGAUGAAGGCCUUAGGGUUGUAAAGCUCUUUCGUCCGGGACGAUAAUGACGGUACCGGAAGAAGAAGCCCCGGCUAACUUCGUGCCAGCCGCCGCAGUAAAAC